rnacentral:rRNA from 1 species
GGAUUGCCCCAGUAACGGCGAGUGAAGCGGCAACAGCUCAAAUUUGAAAUCUGGCCCUUGGGUCCGAGUUGUAAUUUGUAGAGGAUGCUUUUGGCGAGGUGCCUUCCGAGUUCCCUGGAACGGGACGCCAUAGAGGGUGAGAGCCCCGUCUGGUCGGACACCGAGCCUCUGUAAAGCUCCUUCGACGAGUCGAGUAGUUUGGGAAUGCUGCUCAAAAUGGGAGGUAUAUGUCUUCUAAAGCUAAAUAUUGGCCAGAGACCGAUAGCGCACAAGUAGAGUGAUCGAAAGAUGAAAAGCACUUUGAAAAGAGGGUUAAAAAGUACGUGAAAUUGUUGAAAGGGAAGCGCCUAUGACCAGACUUGGGCCCGGUGAAUCAUCCAGCGUUCUCGCUGGUGCACUUUGCCGGGCACAGGCCAGCAUCAGUUUGGCGCGGGGGAAAAAGGCUUUGGGAAUGUGGCUCCCUCGGGAGUGUUAUAGCCCAUUGUGUAAUACCCUGCGCCGGACUGAGGUACGCGCAUUGCAAGGAUGCUGGCGUAA